GGAUUAGCUAGUAGGUGGGGUAACGGCUCACCUAGGCGACGAUCCCUAGCUGGUCUGAGAGGAUGACCAGCCACACUGGAACUGAGACACGGUCCAGACUCCUACGGGAGGCAGCAGUGGGGAAUAUUGCACAAUGGGCGCAAGCCUGAUGCAGCCAUGCCGGCGUGUAUGAAGAAGGCCUUCGGGUUGUAAAGUACUUUCANCGGGGAGGAAGGGAGUAAAGUUAAUACCUUUGCUCAUUGACGUUACCCGCAGAA
rnacentral:rRNA from 1 species